rnacentral:ncRNA from 1 species
CCUUAUUAAGAGCUGCUGAGGGAACAGGCCCUGUGAAGCGCGGCAACCUGCCGAAACCGGCAAGGUGCCAAAUCCUGCGGUGUUGACCGAAAGAUAAGG